CAUAUGUUUCAGGGCGGGGCGAAAUUCCCCACCGGCGGUAAAUGGAUGCGAAACGUGCGUCCACAAGCCCGCGAGCCGCGCAAGCGGUUGAUCCGGUGCGAAUCCGGGGCCGACGGUAUAGUCCGGAUGAGAGAAACGAGGU
rfam:Collinsella tanakaei YIT 12063 genomic scaffold supercont1.2, whole genome shotgun sequence.